UAUUUCGCAAUGGGGGAAACCCUGACGCAGCAACGCCGCGUGGCGGAUGACACUUUUCGGCGCGUAAACUCCUUUUGUUAGGGAAGAAUAAUGACGGUACCUAACGAAUAAGCACCGGCUAACUCCGUGCCAGCAGCCGCGGUAAUACGGAGGGUGCAAGCGUUACUCGGAAUCACUGGGCGUAAAGGACGCGUAGGCGGAUUAUCAAGUCUCGUGUGAAAUCUAACGGCUUAACCGUUAAACUGCUUGGGAAACUGAUAAUCUAGAGUAAGGGAGAGGCAGAUGGAAUUCUUGGUGUAGGGGUAAAAUCCGUAGAUAUCAAGAAGAAUACCUAUUGCGAAGGCGAUCUGCUGGAACUUAACUGACGCUAAUGCGUGAAAGCGUGGGGAGCAAACAGG
rnacentral:rRNA from 1 species